rnacentral:rRNA from 1 species
GGACUACCGGGGUUUCUAAUCCUGUUUGCUCCCCAUGCUUUCGUGCCUCAGUGUCAGUAGCUGUCCAGAAAGUCGCCUUCGCCACCGAUGUUCCUUCCGAUAUCUACGCAUUUCACCGCUACACCGGAAAUUCCACUUUCCUCUACAGUACUCUAGCUUCGCAGUAUCAGGCGCAAUCCCCAGGUUAAGCCCAGGACUUUCACACCUAACUUACGAAACCACCUACGCACCCUUUACGCCCAGUAAUUCCGAUUAACGCUCGCACCCUCUGUAUUACCGCGGCUGCUGGCAC